UGCAAGUCGAGCGGAACGAGUUAUCUGAACCUUCGGGGAACGAUAACGGCGUCGAGCGGCGGACGGGUGAGUAAUGCCUGGGAAAUUGCCCUGAUGUGGGGGAUAACCAUUGGAAACGAUGGCUAAUACCGCAUAAUACCUUCGGGUCAAAGAGGGGGACCUUCGGGCCUCUCGCGUCAGGAUAUGCCYAGGUGGGAUUAGCUAGUUGGUGAGGUAAUGGCUCACCAAGGCGACGAUCCCUAGCUGGUCUGAGAGGAUGAUCAGCCACACUGGAACUGAGACACGGUCCAGACUCCUACGGGAGGCAGCAGUGGGGAAUAUUGCACAAUGGGCGCAAGCCUGAUGCAGCCAUGCCGCGUGUGUGAAGAAGGCCUUCGGGUUGUAAAGCACUUUCAGUCGUGAGGAAGGUAGUGUAGUUAAUAGCUGCCUUAUUUGACGUUAGCUACAGAAGAAGCACCGGCUAACUCCGUGCCAGCAGCCGCGGUAAUACGGAGGGUGCGAGCGUUAAUCGGAAUUACUGGGCGUAAAGCGCAUGCAGGUGGUUUGUUAAGUCAGAUGUGAAAGCCCGGGGCUCAACCUCGGAAUAGCAUUUGAAACUGGCAGACUAGAGUACUGUAGAGGGGGGUAGAAUUUCAGGUGUAGCGGUGAAAUGCGUAGAGAUCUGAAGGAAUACCGGUGGCGAAGGCGGCCCCCUGGACAGAUACUGACACUCAGAUGCGAAAGCGUGGGGAG
rnacentral:rRNA from 1 species